AAAGAGGAAGUGAUGAGAUACAAUGGUGUUUACAAUUAAUUGAUCACAGCCAGUUACAGAUUUCUUUAUUCCUUCUCCACUGCCAUUGCUUCACUUG